rnacentral:rRNA from 1 species
AAAUUGAAGAGUUUGAUCAUGGCUCAGAUUGAACGCUGGCGGCAGGCCUAACACAUGCAAGUCGAACGGUAACAGGAAACAGCUUGCUGUUUCGCUGACGAGUGGCGGACGGGUGAGUAAUGUCUGGGAAACUGCCUGAUGGAGGGGGAUAACUACUGGAAACGGUAGCUAAUACCGCAUAAUGUCGCAA